AGCUGGAUGGGUGAAGUGUUCCCUCAGUUCACAUAGACCAGGCUUCCUCUUUAGAGGCAUAAGCUGUAAAACAGGAGAGUCUGUUUUAAGAGGAUCUGUUUGAAGUUUAAUGUAACUGAAGUCCAUGCACCUGAAGCCAUUAAUUGAUAUAAGUGAAGUAAGUCUUUGGGUUUCCGGUAGCUCUGACUCAGAUUCUGCUUGCCUCUUCUCCAUGAGAUUACCAAGGCAUCAGGGCAGAGACUCCCUGAGGCUAUGCUAGAAGGGUACCAUUUGAAAAGGAAGUGUAUGACCCACCGUGAAAUGGAACUGGUAGCUGGUCACCCAGGUGCUCUUCCUUGUUAACUGAUGAGAGCGAUUAUUAUGUGAGAACUUUAACAACCUGCCAAAGGAUCCCGGGGCAAGAAUGAGAGCUGAACCAUUGAAAAGCUGAGCAUCGAAGUGCCUGGGAAGCCCAAAACUCAGCACAUUCAUGCUUUUGCUGGUUUUUGACCAUUGAGAAGAAAAAAGAGUCAGCAACCAGGGAGCAGGAUACUCUGGGAAAAGCUUCAUGCUUUCAAAACACUGAAUUUCAGGGAGGUCCUCGGCAAAAUCAUGAAACGAAUUUGAAUCUUACCCUUCGUUCAGGUUUCAGUCUGUGACCUUGGACCCAGAUUCCAUGAAUAGAACAUUGUCCUCGCAGGGCAGAGGCUCAAUAACUGGACAUUUUCUGGGUCCCUGAAUUUGUACAAUGAGAUAUCAACUCCAAUCUGUGAGCACAAUGCUC
rnacentral:lncRNA from 1 species